UACGUAGGGUGCAAGCGUUGUUCGGAUUCAUUGGGCGUAAAGGGUGUGUAGGUGGCGCGCUAAGUCGGGUGUGAAAUUUCGGAGCUUAACUCCGAAACUGCAUUCGAUACUGGCGUGCUUGAGGACUGGAGAGGAGUCUGGAAUUCAUGGUGUAGCAGUGAAAUGCGUAGAUAUCAAGCGGAACACCAGUGGCGAAGGCGAGUCCCUGGACAACUCCUGACACUGAGGCACGAAAGCUAGGGGAGCAAACAGG
rnacentral:rRNA from 1 species